rnacentral:rRNA from 1 species
UACGUAGGUGGCAAGCGUUGUCCGGAUUUACUGGGCGUAAAGCGCACGCAGGCGGACCUUUAAGUAGGAAGUGAAAGGUUGGAGCUCAACUCUAACACUGCUCCCUAUACUGGAGGUCUUGAGUGCCGGAGAGGAAGAUGGAACUACACGUGUAGCGGUGAAAAUGCGUUGAUAUGUGUAGGAACACCAAUGGCGAAAGCAAUCUCUGGACGGAAACUGACGCUGAGGUGCGAAAGCUAAGGGAGCGAACAGG